rnacentral:rRNA from 1 species
GUGAGGAAUAUUGGUCAAUGGACGGAAGUCUGAACCAGCCAUGCCGCGUGCAGGAAUAAGGUCCUAUGGAUUGUAAACUGCUUUUAUUCGGGAAUAAACCUCUUUACGUGUAGGGAGCUGAAGGUACCGAAGGAAUAAGCACCGGCUAACUCCGUGCCAGCAGCCGCGGUAAUACGGAGGGUGCAAGCGUUAUCCGGAAUCAUUGGGUUUAAAGGGUCCGCAGGCGGGCUAUCAAGUCAGAGGUGAAAUCCCACAGCUUAACUGUGGAACUGCCUUUGAAACUGAUGGUCUUGAAUUAAGUGGGCGUUGGCGGAAUAUGACAUGUAGCGGUGAAAUGCAUAGAUAUGUCAUGGAACACCGAAAGCGAAGGCAGCUAACGAUACUUAUAUUGACGCUCAUGGACGAAAGCGUGGGUAGCGAACAGGAUUAGAAACCCCUGUAGUCC